rnacentral:rRNA from 1 species
CUACGGGGCGCACCAGUGGGGAAUAUUGGACAAUGGGCGAAAGCCUGAUCCAGCAAUGCCGCGUGAGUGAUGAAGGCCUUAGGGUUGUAAAGCUCUUUUACCAGGGAUGAUAAUGACAGUACCUGGAGAAUAAGCUCCGGCUAACUCCGUGCCAGCAGCCGCGGUAAUACGGAGGGAGCUAGCGUUGUUCGGAAUUACUGGGCGUAAAGCGCACGUAGGCGGCUUUUCAAGUCAGGGGUGAAAUCCCGGGGCUCAACCCCGGAACUGCCCUUGAAACUGGAUGGCUAGAAUACUGGAGAGGUGAGUGGAAUUCCGAGUGUAGAGGUGAAAUUCGUAGAUAUUCGGAAGAACACCAGUGGCGAAGGCGACUCACUGGACAGUUAUUGACGCUGAGGUGCGAAAGCGUGGGGAGCAAACAGGAUUAGAUACCCCGGUAGUC